rnacentral:rRNA from 1 species
CCUACGGGAGGCAGCAGUGGGGAAUCUUGGACAAUGGGGGGAACUCUGAUCCAGCGACGCCGCGUGAGUGAAGAAGUAUUUCGGUAUGUAAAGCUCUAUCAGCAGGGAAGAAAGAAAUGACGGUACCUGACUAAGAAGCCCCGGCUAACUACGUGCCAGCCGCCGCGGUAAUACGUAGGGGGCAAGCGUUAUCCGGAUUUACUGGGUGUAAAGGGAGCGUAGACGGCGAUGCAAGUCUGAAGUGAAAGGCGGGGGCCCAACCCCCGGACUGCUUUGGAAACUGUAUGGCUGGAGUGCAGGAGAGGUAAGUGGAAUUCCUAGUGUAGCGGUGAAAUGCGUAGAUAUUAGGAGGAACACCAGUGGCGAAGGCGGCUUACUGGACUGUAACUGACGUUGAGGCUCGAAAGCGUGGGGAGCAAACAGGAUUAGAUACCCUUGUAGUC